rnacentral:rRNA from 1 species
AUGGGGAACUUCCUCGCGCGCUUCAGCGAGGAUGAGACCCCCGGCACGCUCCCAAAAGAUGAGACACCAGCAGCCGGCCAGCCGCCGGGCCGGCAGGGCACCAUCCUGGUCGGUCAGCUCCACGUCUUCGACGGACCGCCACCCCGCGUCAAUGGCGGUUGGCCUACCCUAGCCAACGCCGGCAGCGCUGCCGGUGCCGCCUUUGCGCCCGGUCGCAUCACCCCCUCAGGCUCAGGCUCAGGCUCCGCCGCCUCACGCUUCCCCUCUUCCCCCGCCUUUGCGCCCGGUCGCAUCACCUCCUCGGGCUCGGGCUCGGGCUCAAGCUCCACCGCCUCACAUUUUCCCUCUUCCUCCGCCUUUGCGCCCGGUCGCAUCACCGCCUCAGGCUCCGGCUCUGCCUCCCCCUCCACGACAGCUCUUACAGUUGACGAGAAGAAAAUGCAGGAUGUGGCAGAUUUCUGGUCUAGGAUGAAGAAAAGCAAGCAUAAACUGGACAGUUGGGAUCUUACCUAUCUAGAAUGCAAAAUAUUCUCUUGGUCUUUGGAGGACGUCCUCAACAAGGACCUUCUCAAGGAAAAGGUGAAGAAAAUACCCAAGACAUUCUCAUCGCUGGAGCAUUACUUGGAUUCGUUUGCUGACCCAUUGGUCGAGGAAGUCCACGCGGACUUUCUCUCUUCAUUUGAGAGUUACCACCAAGCACCAUUCCUUCAGGUAACCAGGGUUCAGAAGCUCGACCAUGGCGAGAAGUCCUCGGCCUUCUUCUUCUGUUUCCUGGCUGCCCGGAGAACAUCAUACACUCCCGCCAAGGACGACAUCGUCGCCGUAUCCUCCUCGAGGAAGGGCAAGCACCCGUCAUCCUACGUCCUGGGUUCGGUUUGCAAGAGCUGGGAAGACGACGAGGAUUUCCCAGCUGACUGUUAUAUCGUCAGGCUGUCGACGUCUGUUCCACCCGUGGAGGUCGACGCCAGAACGAAUAGGCCCGUGGCCCCGCUGUUCGUCUCGUCCCUCAUGAACACCAAGACGUACAAUCGCAUCUGGACGUGCCUUCAGCUGGGGAAGACGAAGAGAGUGAGCGAUGCCGGUCUCGUGGAUGCCAUCUGGAGAUACAGCGCCUCAAAGGCGGUGGAAAACGACUCCCGGUCCAAAGCAUCUCAUCGGUCAGCUGCCGCCGACGACCUUGGGCUCGACAGGUUCAGGCUUAACGAGUCGCAGCUGAACGCAGUGGAGGACUCCGUUGCAGCACUGGGGAGCCCUUCUCCUUCCCUGAAGCUGAUAUGGGGGCCUCCAGGGACCGGCAAAACCAAGACCAUCAGCACCAUACUCUGGGCGAUGCUGCUCAGGGGGCACCGGACGCUUACUUGUGCUCCGACCAACACCGCGGUGCUGGAGGUUGCGUCUCGAGUAGUCCAGCUUGUCCGGGAGUUCUCAAAUGGCGGCAGCGGAGGCUGCUUCCUGAGUGACAUCGUUCUGCUGGGAAACAAUGAGAAGAUGAAGGUAGAGGCCAGCCAUGAGCUCUCUGCGGUGUUCCUUGACUGUCGCGUCGAGCGGCUUUCCCAAUGCUUCUCGCCAAAUGGAGGCUGGGGGCACUGCUUGCGUUCGCUGAUGGAUUUUCUUGCGGAGCCUGUGAGCAAGUAUCAGCUGUACACCGAUAAAAUUACCAAGGACCGUGAGGAGGAGGAGAAGAAGAGGAACAUUUCAUCAAAUGUACUAGAUAAGAAGAACAAAAAUAUUGUUGCAAGAUGCAAUAAAGGGAAUGGUCAUGAAAAGGAUAGAUGCAAUAACGAAGGAGAUGCGCAAGUGUUUGUUACCCUGUCAUUCAAGGAUUUUGUGAGAACCACUCACAAGGAACUCACUCACAACUUGCGCCACUGUAUCGAGACAUUGCAGAAUGAUUUCCCAAGGGAGCCUACGACGGCACCUAAUUUCUGGUGCAUGUCCGAUGUGGUAGAAGCAACAAGAGUUCUCGGUGCAUUGCUAGACGCCGGUGCCGGCGACAGACACGAGGCAUGGGUGAGCGAUGUCGGCGAUGCCUGCAGCCCGUGCUCUGUGAGCAACGUUCCUCCAUGCAAGGAAUGCAGAUUCAGGAAAGCGAGGUCACUCUGUCUCGAACAACUGGAGUAUCUGCGCAACAAUCUGAAGCUCCCCGGCUACUACGACAAGCGACCGAUUGAAAUCUACCUGCUGCAGAGAGCCAAGAGUAUCCUGUGCACUGUUUCCACUUCUUUCAGGCUGUAUAACGUACUGCCCACGGACAAUCAGAAACCUGUCGGCGGGCAAGGACAACAGCAACGCAAAGAAGCCGAGAUCUUCCCCCCUCUGGAGCUGUUGGUCGUCGACGAGGCCGCGCAGCUCAAGGAGUGCGAGGCCAUGAUCCCGCUGCAGCUGCCUUGUAUAAGGCAUGCUGUUUUCAUCGGGGACGAGCGCCAGCUACCUGCUCUCGUUAAGAGCAAAAUAUCCGAGAAUGCCGAUUUCGGAAGAAGCAUCUUCGAGAGGCUGAUCUCUCUAGGCUGCCGCAAGCACCUCCUCGACACCCAGUACAGGAUGCAUCCGGAGAUAAGCAGGUUCCCUGUGUGGAGGUUUUAUGACGGCAAGGUAGGUGACGGCGUCAACGUUGUCUCCAAGAGCCACCGGCGCCGCCUCUUGAGAGGCAACAUGUUUGGGCCCUACUCGUUCAUCAAUGUGCGUGGGGGGCGCGAGAGCAGCGAGGAGCAUAGCCGGAGCCCCAAAAACACCAUCGAAAUCGCCGUCGUCUCGCUGAUAGUCGAGAGACUGUUCCGAGAGUCGGCUUCUUCGGGAACAAGGCUAUCCGUUGGCAUCUUGUCCCCGUACAACGCUCAGGUGAGAGCGUUCCAGGAGAAGCUGGAGAAACCAUACGGUGGCCGCGAUGGUUUCUCUCUCAAGAUAAAGUCCGUGGACGGGUUCCAGGGCGGUGAGGAAGAUGUCAUCAUCAUAUCCACGGUGAGGAGCAACGAGGAUGGCGCCGUCGGGUUCCUCAGGGACGCAAAGCGUACCAACGUGGCUCUCACCAGGGCAAAGCAUUGCUUGUGGGUGAUUGGCAAUGCGACGACUCUGUCCAAGAACAGGUCUGUCUGGCAGGACAUUGUGUACGAUUCUCAGAGGCGACGGUGCUUUUUCCAUGCCAGCAGUGACAAAGGUCUGUUAGACGCAAUACAGGCGGCAACUGUUGAGCUUGAUGCCGCCGAUAAUCUGCGCAAGAUGGGGUCCUUGCAGUGUGCGGCAUGA